rnacentral:rRNA from 1 species
UACGAAGGGUGCAAGCGUUACUCGGAAUUACUGGGCGUAAAGCGUGCGUAGGCGGUUGGUUAAGUCUGCUGUGAAAGCCCUGGGCUCAACCUGGGAACUGCAGUGGAUACUGGCCAGCUAGAGUGUGUCAGAGGAUGGUGGAAUUCCCGGUGUAGCGGUGAAAUGCGUAGAUAUCGGGAAGAACAUCGGUGGCGAAGGCGCUCUACUGGACCACAACUGACACUCAGGGACGAAAGCUAGGGGAGCGAAUGGG